rnacentral:rRNA from 1 species
UACGUAGGGGGCAAGCGUUGUCCGGAUUUAUUGGGCGUAAAGAGCGUGUAGGCGGCCAGACAGGUCUGCUGUGAAAACUCGAGGCUCAACCUCGAGACGUCGGUUGAAACCAUCUGGCUAGAGUCCGGAAGAGGAGUGUGGAAUUCCCGGUGUAGCGGUGAAAUGCGCAGAUAUCGGGAAGAACACCCGUGGCGAAGGCGGCACUCUGGGACGGUACUGACGCUGAGACGCGAAAGCGUGGGGAGCGAACAGG